AAGCGUGUUGAGUCCUUUAUGUCAUCCUUAAGAGAAGCACUCCCCUAAGUCAGCUAUCAUCUGUAUGAGGACUGAUAAAAAGUCACCAAUAUUUCUGAGCAUUGGACUGAUAAAAAAUUAUUGAGAGGAAGGCUGUUAGAAGGCUACUUGUAGUUGUAUCCGUGUAAGUUUCAUUGCAUCUACUAAUUUCCUAAUUAUUCAGUGUGAAGCAGGGGUUGCUUAUAUGUAAUCGUAGUCAGCCCCAAGGAAUCUGUACUACAGUCUGUUCUGAUACCAUUUGUAACAAUUCAGGAUCUGACCCAAAAAAGCUAGUCGUAAGGUAUUAUUUGGGGUUUUUGAUUCUAUAUAAGUACCAAAAUCUAUCUAGUAAAUAAUCAAUAUAGGACUAAAUACAUGCCUGCAUGAGUCCUCAUAAAAUAAUUCAUAAAAAAGUGAAUACAACUCUCUCUUUCAUGAAAUAUG
rnacentral:lncRNA from 1 species